CGGCUUAAGGGUUUAUUCCAGGUGAAGCGAGUGUCUUAGAAGAUGGGAAACACGUAGAUGGCGUGUUUUUGCGGAAGAACUAAAAUAUUUAAAUUUUAGGCAAGUGUCGUGGACUUCGUACUGCUAGGAAGCUCCGUAGUCACCGACGAGACCAGAAGUGGCAUGAUAAACAGUAUAAGAAAGCUCAUUUGGGCACAGCCCUGAAGGCCAACCCUUUUGGAGGUGCUUCUCAUGCAAAAGGAAUCGUGCUGGAAAAAGUAGGAGUUGAAGCCAAACAGCCAAAUUCUGCCAUUAGGAAGUGUGUCAGGGUCCAGCUGAUCAAGAAUGGCAAGAAAAUCACAGCCUUUGUACCCAACGACGGUUGCUUGAACUUUAUUGAGGAAAACGAUGAAGUUCUGGUUGCUGGAUUUGGUCGCAAAGGUCAUGCUGUUGGUGAUAUUCCUGGAGUCCGCUUUAAGGUUGUCAAAGUAGCCAAUGUGUCUCUUUUGGCCCUAUACAAAGGCAAGAAGGAAAGACCAAGAUCAUAAAUUUUAAUGGUGAAAACACUGUAGCAAUAAAUUUUCAUAUGCCAAAAAA
rnacentral:sRNA from 1 species